GUGGAGGCAGCUGAUGGCAACAGGUAGAGGCAGAGUCAUGGACCCCAAUAGAUCUUCAGCAGAUCCAAGCUCUGCUGCUCAUAAGGUUUGUGUAGGACUGAGUUACCUCUUUGAGCUUUGGUUUUUCGGUCUGUGAGAUGAAGCUAUUCACUAUUUUCCUAAGAUGAGCAAUUAAUUUGGUCAAUUCAACUUCCUCUGGCUACUUUUAUGUCAACUUGACACAAGAUAUUGUCAUCUGAGAAGGGGGAACCUCAACAGAGAAAAUGCCUCCGUAAGAUUGGGCUGUAGCCAGGCCUACAUGGGAGGGCUCUGCCUAUUUUGCGUGAUACCACCCUGGGCCAAUCAUUCCCCUAGAUUCUAUACAGAAGCAAGAUGAGCAAGCCACGAGUAGUAAGCCAGUAAGCAGCACCUCUCUGUUGCUCCUGGACCAGCUCUUGUCUCUAGAUUCCCACCCUGUUUGAGUUCUUGCCUUGGUUUCCCUCAGGACGUAUAAGCCAAAUGAACUCUUUCCUCAUCAAGUUUCUUCUCUUUGUGGUGUUUCAUCAUAGCAACAACCCUAGGGGCUCAAAGUCAUCGUGUGUGUGUGUGUGUGUGUGUGUGUGUGUGUGUGUGUGUGUGUGUUUGUGUGUGUGUGUGUGUGUGUGUGUGUGUGUGUGUGUGUGUGUGAUUUUGAAUAACCCAGUUUGGCAGUGUGUUAGUUUCCUGAGCUGGGACAUAUUAUUCUGAACUCUUAUCUUUUCCUGGAUUCUACACUUGCUGCAGGCCAUCCGAAUGUUUCCAGAACACAUAGGUGCUAAGAAUGAGCAUCUGCACUUCAGUGAAGUUAUCCUUUAUGUGAGGCUUAGGGACUUUUUGCUUAAAAGAAGGUAAGGCUGUUGGAGCAAAUCAUUAGGCGCCAAUUGUUUCAGCAACAAGUAACUUUCCUGAGUCAUGCUGUGGGUGGGGUCUACACUUGGUCAGCAGAAGACACCUGUGAUGGCUGUAUGCUGGGUGUGUUAAGCACACUUUGAGAUGUUUAGGAAAAGCUGGUCAUACCAGGCUGUGCUGCCGAGAGCAGCACUCAAACAUCUUAUUGUUGAGAACCUAAGUUUUCAUUUUUGUCUGUUUGUCUAUAUUCCACCAGUACAAAAGGAAGUCAUGAGUUAACUGGGACUUAAUUAAAGAGAUAAUAGCAUACGGUUUUAUUUAUUCACGGGUUUUGCUAGCUGAGUUCAGAUUUCCACUUAUAAAUCCAAUCCCUUAAUGCAAGUGAAUGUAGCUUUCUCCAGUUCACUUAGCAAGAAUGAAUAGUUUCUACUGGUAACAUUUUAAAAAUAAGUCCAUAUAAGGGCAUAGGCGGUAAUCACUGAAAUAGUAGCGAAACUCUCAAAGAUCCCUGAACAGAAAGGAAAGCUCUUCUCUUCACCAGAUCAGUGGCCAAUUAGCUUAAACAUGCCAGGUGGCAGGUAAUAGGUGCACAGCAAAGCCCCCUGAUUAAAGGCACUCACUCUGAGGAGUGCAUGAUGGCUCACCAUUGGCUGAUGGUGACUCUUUCUUGAAAUAUCCUUUCAUAACCCUAAGGACCUACUAGGUCAGGAACAAGAGCAACUCAGGAAAUGAUGGAGGUACAGCCCUCUUAGAAACGGACUUCAGGAUUGCUGUUCAAGAGGCUGUUUACUCUCUUCUUUUUUCUUUUUUCUUUUUUUCCGGAGCUGGGGACCGAACCCAGAGCCUUGCGCUUGCUAGGCAAGCGCUCUACCACUGAGCUAAAUCCCCAACCCCCUGUUUACUCUCUUUACAGGUAAGCAUGUAGCUUUGUAUCCUAGACAAGACCUUACAAGGUAAUGUCUUCAUGGAGAGGCUGCUCUAGCCUUCUAUGCAGGAGAGAGAAGCAUAGAGUGGGGUCUUUCGAGAACAUUCGGGAGCUCAUAGCACUGUGCGGUACAGGUGGGCAUCAGUAGCAGAGUGCAGUCAGUCUGUUUCAUGACUGGACUUUUUGGAACGACCUGAAGAACACAGUGGUUAGGAACAGCUCAGGGCUGGAUUUUGAUAACUAAAUGUCUAAAUGCCAAGUCUUAUACUGCUAGCUGUGUAAACAGUUUUGGCGUCUGUAAAGUGGGGGACAUUUUAUUACCAAAGACAGCUGGACAUUGUGAGGUUGGAGUAAGGUGUUUAGGACUGGAGACUGUAGUCAUUCUUAUUAUUGGAUAAUUAAAGCUCUUAAAUUAAAGAUCGUAAGAUUCUUAUGGCAAAGAUGCUGGCUGGUUCUGUUUAUUGCUCUUAAAUCCCCUUUGCUGUGGGAGCUGGGCUGAGCACACGGUUAGGUUAAUCCAGCCCACUCUAAUUGAUGCCCUUAGAACCUGUCAAUUUACAAAACAAGACACAGAGCAAGCCCUGGAUGAAAAGAUGUAGCAGGGGCGGGAUUAAGAUAGAGGUCCAUGUUACCCCCACUGUCUCUUCUAGAUUGAAGGCUUUCACACCUGCUGGUCCCUUUCCAAGCUAAUAUCAAAGUGGCACCCAGUACUCCUGGGAUGUGCUGACACUGAGCCUGCGUACAGAGGGAGGGGGAACGGAGGCUCUCCUUGAGUGACUGGGCAAUAGGGUAAAUGCUAGGGAAAAAUCCUGGUAUUUUCUUGGUGUACAUGGCAAGUGUUCUUACUGUUUUAUAAUUGGAAAGUAUAAAAUACAGCUUCAAAUAAGAAUGAAAAAGAGAGGGGAAAAGAAAGAAAUUCAACAGGUGAAGUUGCAUGCCAAGUCCCACUGUCUAUUACUACCCCUAGAGCUGGCAUGGUGGCCUGAGGAAUGUCAAACUCUGAUGUCUGAUGCCAAGUCUGGUCAUGAGGCUCAGGUACAAGGGAGGGAUGAUAACUCAUCCAAUGGUUGUUCUCAAGUAACUCCUCCCCACACUUGGACUUAUAAACGGUAGGGCCCCUGUGAGGCAUCUGACCAAAAGGAAAAAAAAUCAUUUAACUUAUAAUCUACUUGCUGUGACAUCUAUCCUAGAACUUUCUGGAGUUCUAAACCAUGACAUCACAGCUUUCUUUAUAAAAAACAAACAAACCCCCUCCAUACCUCCUAACUGUCGGGUAUGAGUCAGGGCACUCCCAGGGCUGGGAGUGCAGGACAAGACACAUUCACAGGCUUGGACUCAACUGGAGCAUUCGGUGGACUAGAACAUGCCACAGGGCCACAGGACACCAGACCAAAGGAGGAAUGGCAGAAGCCCUACAGCCAGUUGCCAGGCAGGAGGAGGGUAUUGCUCUCAUAUCGCAGCAGCCACGGCCAUUCCCCAGCACACGAAGCACACUCAAACAGUUGCAGAGACAGCCAAGCGUAAAGCUGCUACAGAACUCCAAAGGUGAUAGAGAGCCACAUUCUAGGGCCCAGGAGUCCCCUCUGUACACAUCCCCGCUGUGUGUUUCUACUGAUGGAGACUCCAAAAGUCCAUGGACAGCUGGCUUGACCUAGUGAGGAGCCUGCUCAGCUCAGCUAGUCCAGUUCAUCACAGGUAAGGGAUUACAAGACCCAUUGAGACCCACUGUAGUCACCUGGGUUAGAACCCUCAGCCUUGACCUACAGACUGGUUUCACUGCAGUAUCUCUCUGCUAGGGAGCCUGUUUGUCUUGCUUUCCAGGUAGUCAUUCCUAUCUGCGGGUUCCUUCUGCCUUGUGCCGUCUCAGUUGUUCACUUGGGACUAGAAGAGACCCAGUGGACUUGUUCAGUGCUCAUGUUGUGUGGUCGUCCAGUGCCUUCAGCUUAACUUCUUAUUUGUACACAGCAGGGAUGGAUGAAAAUUGGAGCAUGUAAGAUGUCCUAAGAGGGGCUGCUUCAAGGCUAACAAUGCCACUUCAUUUUGUUGUUUUAGCCCAGCUUAUGUAACCUGAUCCACUGUGUUAGAUAGUAAUGCCCCUUUUUAAAUUCAAACAUUACUGGCCCAGGCUUCUAGGUGUUGUCUACAAUUUUUACUAUGCAGUCAGAGAGCAAGAUGAGUAGACACUUACUUCCAGUGGGAAAAGGUCUUGCUAGCUUUGGCGACUCCAUGCUUGGGUUAAUUGGUUGGCCUGAACCCCAUAUCUCAGGCUGAUCUAAAAGGACUGGAAACAUGAAGACAGAAUUUCUUAGGGGAAGUUCAAACAAGAGUUUAGAGCUUCAAUUAAAGUUGAGCUUCAAAAUAUGAUCCCCAUGCUUUCACUCAUCCUAGAAGUUUAAUUUCGGGGUGUGCCAAUGAUGCACACACUCUUUAGGCAGAGAACAGGACUAGAGGCGUGGUGUGCGUGGGAGCAAGGGGUAUCUGCAUGUGUACAUGGAGCUAAGUUAAAUGAACAGCCAACUAGAACCUACAUUUUCUUCCUGGUUGGUCACCUAAGGACAUUCUAGGUAUCACUCCCCAUGCUGUCCCCAUUUCCGUACAAUUCCAAAAGUGUAGAAGUUACUUCAUGAAGUUAUUUUGCUGUUAGCUGGUUUAUUUAAAGAGUUCUAUGAAUAUACUUCAGUGUUGAAAAUAUCUGGAUUCUGUGCAGGGCCUCCUAUUUUUAAAGCCUGUUCAGGUUCUUAACCCUUUACAGCAUCAUAAAGAGGAACAAUUAUUCUAAAUAUGCUUGUUGAACAUUUUGAGAGAACCAGAACUUUUUUAAAAAAAUUAUUUUAUGUGUAUGGGUGUUCUGCCUUCAUGUAUGACUGUGCACCAUGUGUAUGCCUGGUGCCUGAAAAGGCCAGAAGAGGGAGUUGGAUCCCCUGGAACUGGAGUUACAGAUGGCUAUGAGCUACCAUGUCCAUGUGGGUGCUGGGACUUAAACCCAGGUCGUCUGAAAGAACUGCCAGUGCUCUAACCACUGAACCGUCUCUCCAGCCCAGCAACCAGAAAGUGAGUAGUUCCUUAGAUGUGUGAAGCAGAUGAAGGCAGCUAGGCAUUUGGUCUAAGAGCACUGAAUUUAAAACAUUCUUUUUCUUCUUUGUUUUGCUGUUGUUCACAUGUAAAUCGCCAGUGUCCUUUUUUUUUCCAAAAACAAACAAACCAAAAAAAAAAAAAAAAACAACGACUAAUGUUCUCCAACACAUGUCCAUAGAAAAAGCAGAGGAACUGAGACCUAAUGUAGCCAAAGCCCUUUCUUUCCUUUCUAGGUCUGCUAAGCACCCGACAUCACUACCCAGGAUGCACUACCAACAUUCAGCAAUGCUGCGAGAGAAAUGUCUUCACUUCUGCCAUUAGUUUUGGGUUGCCUACUAAACACAAAUUCUAUAAUUAUUUGUCUUUAGAAUUAAUCAUGUUUUUGUGGGGCUAUAAAUAAUGUGUAUUUUGAUCUAAAAUACAUCCUUUAAGAAGAAGGGCUAUUCUAUAUUUGAAUUUAAUUUAUGCCCAAUGCAUACAGUAACAAUAGUAAAAUCAGUCUGAAGUAGUAAGAUUAUUUUGCCUGAACCGAUAAGAGAGAGAGGGUUGGCUAGGGGAAGGGUUGGCAUGGUUUGUGAAACGCCAGAACUGUGCAGUUCAGUGGCUAAAGCCAGAGGGCAGUCAAGAAGACUCCUCAGAGAGUCCGGAUGUUUUUCUGCCCCUGUCCCAGGCCUCCAUGUAGGGAGUGCUGGGAAUAGCACUGCUUCUAUAGGCUCAGUGUGUGGGGGACAACCUAGAUUAAAAAAAUUUUUUUUCUAUUUUCAGUGUAGAUAUUUUUGUAUGCUUAUGGAAUUCCUUAAAUAGGCAAAUUCAAAGGCGACAUACCAGCUCCAACCAUCGGUCGGUCACCUUGCAAUGUAUGAAAAAUGAGACUGACCACAGAUGACUUAGUAAUACAAAUGACAGUCUCUCCCAAGGCUACAGUUUGUACAGUUCUAGGUUGGAGGUGUAAUGCCACCGGGAGGGGAUUUAGAACGCAUUUAUAAGUUUGCCUCACUAAAUCAUCGAAAGCGCCCAGGGGUAGCUGGCUGCUACGGAGCAGAAAAAGGAGCUUCAGUUGGCCGCGCUACACCAAAUUCCCUGCAAUGCACUUUGGUUAAAAGCGAUGUGUUUGGAAUUUAGAGUUUGCUCUUGUGACAAGUGCUGGCAAGUUCUUUGGCACCUUCUAGAAUGCUAAGAGCUGGAGCAAGUCCUUGGACUCAGAGAUGAUGGUAAUCAUUGGUAGCUAAAGUCUAGCCCUACCGCCCCAUGGCUACUCCUAUAUUGUUAGCAAGAAAUAGAAUUCCGCCUUCGUUACUGCUCUUUGAAAUCUCUGUUACUUUAGCUUAGUCUACUCUGUCUAUGUACCACGGAAGUCUUUUCUUUUGUGACACGGUCUCACUAUGUAUUCUGUGUCCUGGAACUCACUCUGUAGACCAGGCUGGGCUAGAACUCACAGAGGUCUGCCUGCCUCUGUCCCCCAAGUGCUGUAAUUAAAGUCAUGCUCCACGACACCUGGGCAAUAUAAUGUAUCCCAGAUGAACAUUCCAGAAACUAAAAGUCCUCUUUAAGAAGAACUCCAGGCUUCUCAUCAUGCUAAGGAUCACAAACAGAAAACCUCAGCUUGAGAAAACAGACUUCCUACUGGAGGGUGCAGGAUUGGAGCAGAAAAAUCCUGAAAGGAGGUCUCAAGAAAAGAAAUACAUGGUAGACUUUGAUGGAAGAACCUGGAACUGAUCAGGGGACCAGGAUGUUGCUGCUCUACUGCCAGGAAGUGUGGAUGACAGAGUGGAGCCACAAAACUGGUGACCAUAAAUAUUAAAAAACAAAUCAAAACACCCCCCAAACAACACCAGGAGUCUCCUCCACCCUGGAUGUGAAGCGUGGAGAGAAGAAAUUCAACAGGAAGGAACUUCUUUGCCUCGACCCAAAUGCUAGAAGGUGGCAAUUAUAGUCAUGCUCGCCCAUCACGCACCAUGGCACAUGGGAAGCAACAGAGGCAGAUCACCAAGCGGCAUCGGACAACUGCAUUCCAAGAUCCCGCUGCCAGACGGAGUCCUGGCUCCUCUUUUAUUUUGAAUAUUUUUCUCUUAGUGUUUACAACUAUUUUUUGCCUGCUUACCAAGUAAUGUCUUCUCCAAUGUGAUUUUUUUUAAAUGGAAAGACAUUUCUCGGCAAAUUAAGCUGAACAUUAAUUAAACAUAAAGAUUAUAUUUUGCAUGUGGAAAUCUUCGUGUGUUUCCCGGUAAACAGAAGGGAAGCUUAAUGAAGUCUGGCUAAGUGGAUUAUUUCUGCAACGAAUAUGAAUUUUCAGCUGAAGUCUUCAUCAAUGUUGAGGGUUACUUAAAGGUGAAUCACACGUAAUGGAAUUGCUUAUUUUCUGCAUGAACCCAGGCCAAGCAUUUAGUCUCAGGAAUAAAAAACAGGCAAAUCUAAUUGCCCUGGGCAUGAUGCCUCAUGCAGAUGGCAACUCCAGCAUAGCAAUGAGUGUUCAUUAUGAUGGUUGUACCUCAGGAAAGAGGCGGGCCUUUGCACGACAGCAUCUCCUCUAAGGUCCAGAAUGGCACUGAGUUAAAUUCUCACAAGUACUGAGCUUCAUUUCAGACUGUUCAAAAGAAAAAAAAAAACUUCUUACCCCAGUUCUCCAGGUCAUUUUUGAUACAAGCCAGAACCCCUCAUGAUUUUUUUUUGAUAUUUCUGAUUUCCAAGGCUUACACUGCUGCCUGGAAUGUGGGGGCUGUUUAUUAAAAGUGGAUGCCAGGAAGCAGGACGCGCUGCAGCCAGUGUUUUUGGAGUAUACCAGCUCGUGACGGUCAGCUACACGUUUACCAGCUGCUCUCUAUUUGCAGUCUUAACCAAAGGAAUUAUUCCAAGUUGAUAGAACACGCCUUCUUUGGUCUGAAUACUGUAGUUUGACAUUUCAGUGAUCAAAGGAAGUCCAAGAGAACUUUGUACUUGGUAAGUGCAAAGCCUGUUUACAUGACAUUCUGAGCUAAGCCACUGGGAAGAAUCCCAUGACAAUCCAACAGCAGUGGGUCGUAAAAGUCUGGCGGGAUCAAACAGCAAGUUUAAGUUCGGUAUCUGGAAAUUCAUGUUGUGCACUGAAAUGGAGAAUCCUAACGGACGACAGAGACUAACGUCAAGGGCUAAACAUGGCUUUUUGUUUGUUUGUUUUCGAGAGAUAACUGUUUGACCUUUUGGUGACAUAGAAGGAAAUAUUAAAGAAGACAGUCUCAGGAUACAUUUGAUUCCAAAGGUCAUGUUUGUGAUGCCAGUGUUAAUGGAACUGGGGAGCCUGGGGAACAGACUUUGAAGCAGGGGGAUGACUUUUACUAAGCUGUCAGCACUGUACCCAGUGCUGUACUCCAGUGCUAUACUGCUCCAGCAGCAUGCUUUGCUGGAAGGAAAGUGGGAACAUUGAGUCCAGACUUGGCUUCCAUGUUGACCCUCACUGCCGUCAGGCAUGGGCUGCUUAAUCUCGCUGGGUCUCCAUUUUCUCAGCUAAUGAUUAUAAAGAGUUUUGUAAGUUUUUAACUUUUCACUGCAGUAAGAAAACUGUGUAGAACCUGAAGUAUAUUGAGUAUCACUUUAUGCAUAUUUCUCUUGCCUAGCUAGACUUAUUGAUGGCUGUAAAACAAGUCAGGUGUUCUAAAUGACGACACAAGGGUAGCUAAACACACAAUUUCACCACUGCCAGCAGCUUUAUUUCAAUAGAAAUAAUAAUAAAAAUAACAGCAAACAUUGAAAAUAAUAAACAUUUAAAAAAUCUUAAA